GACGUAGGGCGCGAGCGUUGUCCGGAUUUAUUGGGCGUAAAGAGCGUGUAGGCGGCCUGACAGGUCUGCUGUGAAAACUCGAGGCUCAACCUCGAGACGUCGGCGGAAACCAUCUGGCUAGAGUCCGGAAGAGGAGAGUGGAAUUCCUGGUGUAGCGGUGAAAUGCGCAGAUAUCAGGAGGAACACCAGUGGCGAAGGCGGCGAUCUGGGCAGAUACUGACGCUGAGGUGCGAAAGCGUGGGGAGCAAACAGG
rnacentral:rRNA from 1 species